rnacentral:rRNA from 1 species
AAGACGAACGGCACCCCCCGCCGGAGGGAAGCGAGGGGCGAACGGCAGAGCAACACGAGGAGAACCCGCCCCCCCCCCCGGGAGAGCCGCCCGAAAGGACGGGAAACACCGGACACCCCGGGGGGCCGCAAGGCACCCCGGCAAAAGCCCCGAGGGGAGGGGACGGCCCCGCGGCCCAACAAGAAGACGGCGGGGAGACGGCCCACCGCGCCGACAACGGGGAGCCGGGAAGAGAGACCGACCGGCCAGAGAGGGACAGAGACACGGCCCACACUCCUACGGGAAGCAGCAGUGGGGAAUCUUGCGCAAUGGGGGGAACCCUGACGCAGGGACGCCGCGUGCGGGACGGAGGCCUUCGGGUCGUAAACCGCUUUCAGCAGGGAAGAGUCAAGACUGUACCUGCAGAAGAAGCCCCGGCUAACUACGUGCCAGCAGCCGCGGUAAUAUGUAGGGGGCGAGCGUUAUCCGGAUUCAUUGGGCGUAAAGCGCGCGUAGGCGGCCCGGCAGGCCGGGGGUCGAAGCGGGGGGCUCAACCCCCCGAAGCCCCCGGAACCUCCGCGGCUUGGGUCCGGUAGGGGAGGGUGGAACACCCGGUGUAGCGGUGGAAUGCGCAGAUAUCGGGUGGAACACCGGUGGCGAAGGCGGCCCUCUGGGCCGAGACCGACGCUGAGGCGCGAAAGGUGGGGGAGCGAACAGGAUUAGAUACCCUGGUAGUCCCAGUCCGUAAACGAUGGACGCUAGGUGUGGGGGGACGAUCCCCCCGUGCCGCAGCCAACGCAUUAAGCGUCCCGCCUGGGGAGUACGGCCGCAAGGCUAAAACUCAAAGGAACUGACGGGGGCCCGCACAAGCAGCGGAGCAUGUGGCUUAAUUCGAAGCAACGCGAAGAACCUUACCAGGGCUUGACAUAUGGGUGAAGCGGGGGAGACCCCGUGGCCGAGAGGAGCCCAUACAGGUGGUGCUUGGCUGUCGUCAGCUCGUGUCGUGAGAUGUUGGGUUAAGUCCCGCAACGAGCGCAACCCCCGCCGCGUGUUGCCAUCGGGUGAUGCCGGGAACCCACGCGGGACCGCCGCCGUCAAGGCGGAGGAGGGCGGGGACGACGUCAAGUCAUCAUGCCCCUUAUGCCCUGGGCUGCACACGUGCUACAAUGGCCGGUACAGAGGGAUGCCACCCCGCGAGGGGGAGCGGAUCCCGGAAAGCCGGCCCCAGUUCGGAUUGGGGGCUGCAACCCGCCCCCAUGAAGUCGGAGUUGCUAGUAAUCGCGGAUCAGCAUGCCGCGGUGAAUGCGUUCCCGGGCCUUGCACA